rnacentral:lncRNA from 1 species
AUGGUUAAGAUCCUGGUCAGUCACGCCUCCAAGCGGUGGUACUCCGCAUGUGGAUUUUGGGGGUGUGACAGUUCGACAUGGGCAGAGGCCCAAGGACAUGAAUAACUCACACAUUAUACGUUAACUAGGGUAUGGUUAAGCUAGGGAAUGAACUGUUAGAUCAGGUGAGCGAAUAGUAAUCUCUCUUAAGUGCCAUUAAUCUUGUAUAAGACCGAGGGCAAAAGUGGUAGAUCUAUCGGGUGUAGCGAGCCCCACUCUUGGGUCCUUGUGUGGCCCAUGUAGUGCUUUUGUUGUUCUAACCGGGUGGACCGGGGGAAAUCCGCUAGGGUU